GGGGCGUGGACCGACGCGGA
rnacentral:siRNA from 1 species